rnacentral:rRNA from 1 species
UACGGGGGGGGCAAGCGUUGUUCGGAAUUACUGGGCGUAAAGGGCUCGUAGGCGGCCAACUAAGUCAGACGUGAAAUCCCUCGGCUUAACCGGGGAACUGCGUCUGAUACUGGAUGGCUCGAGUUUGGGAGAGGGAUGCAGAAUUCCAGGUGUAGCGGUGAAAUGCGUAGAUAUCUGGAGGAAUACCGGUGGCGAAGGCGGCAUCCUGGACUAAUACUGACGCUGAGGUACGAAAGCGUGGGGAGCAAACGGG